UAACAGGGGUAGCUUGCUACCCGCUGACGAGCGGCGGACGGGUGAGUAAUGCAUAGGAAUCUGCCCGAUAGUGGGGGAUAACCUGGGGAAACCCAGGCUAAUACCGCAUACGUCCUACGGGAGAAAGGGGGCUCCGGCUCCCGCUAUUGGAUGAGCCUAUGUCGGAUUAGCUAGUUGGUAAGGUAAUGGCUUACCAAGGCAACGAUCCGUAGCUGGUCUGAGAGGAUGAUCAGCCACAUCGGGACUGAGACACGGCCCGAACUCCUACGGGAGGCAGCAGUGGGGAAUAUUGGACAAUGGGGGCAACCCUGAUCCAGCCAUGCCGCGUGUGUGAAGAAGGCCCUCGGGUUGUAAAGCACUUUCAGCGAGGAAGAACGCCUAUCGGUUAAUACCCGGUAGGAAAGACAUCACUCGCAGAAGAAGCACCGGCUAACUCCGUGCCAGCAGCCGCGGUAAUACGGAGGGUGCAAGCGUUAAUCGGAAUUACUGGGCGUAAAGCGCGCGUAGGUGGCUUGAUAAGCCGGUUGUGAAAGCCCCGGGCUCAACCUGGGAACGGCAUCCGGAACUGUCAGGCUAGAGUGCAGGAGAGGAAGGUAGAAUUCCCGGUGUAGCGGUGAAAUGCGUAGAGAUCGGGAGGAAUACCAGUGGCGAAGGCGGCCUUCUGGACUGACACUGACACUGAGGUGCGAAAGCGUGGGUAGCAAACAGGAUUAGAUACCCUGGUAGUCCACGCCGUAAACGAUGUCGACCAGCCGUUGGGUGCCUAGAGCACUUUGUGGCGAAGUUAACGCGAUAAGUCGACCGCCUGGGGAGUACGGCCGCAAGGUUAAAACUCAAAUGAAUUGACGGGGGCCCGCACAAGCGGUGGAGCAUGUGGUUUAAUUCGAUGCAACGCGAAGAACCUUACCUACCCUUGACAUCUACAGAAGCCGGAAGAGAUUCUGGUGUGCCUUCGGGAACUGUAAGACAGGUGCUGCAUGGCUGUCGUCAGCUCGUGUUG
rnacentral:rRNA from 1 species